GGGGGUUAUUAAGGGAUCAGGCGCUAAUAUCAAAUAUUAUAACGUGCUAUUAUUAUCCUAAGGCGCUAUGCCAGGCGGGAAAUAAAGGUAAUACAGCCUUGGGAAAACGAAACAGUGAUUUCCAAAGGCUUCAGGUCGUCUUCCUGUUGGACUUCAGAACCGUCUGCCUUGAUAACCUGCCUGUCCUGGUUAAUAUGUUAGAAGAAGACAAACAGUUUUGUUUGCUGUAUUGGCCAACGCUGCGUGAGUGAUGAAGGGUCUAACAUCAGGGACGCCAGGAGCGACCCCAAUCCGGUGUGUGGCGUUCAGGGUUGGCCCCGCCAGUUGGGAGACCACCUCUGUGUGUCUUGGUUAAUGCCCAACUCACCCUCCGACUGCUUCCCGUAAGCCACUCCGUGUGGGUGGAUGCUGUACGCGCCGUAAGCCAUGUUUCUGAACGUGACGACAAUCGUCUCCCCCUCCUUGGCCCUCAGCGUGGGUCCCAGCAGACCUGCAGAGAGAGGCACAGGAUCGAGUUUCUUUAUUUGGAUUUGUGUGCGAGCAGUUCUGGGAUUUUGCGCAAUGUGAAAACACAUUGGGGGCAAGUUUGGUACCCCUCUCGCGUUUUCUGGGUAAUUAUUAAAUAUUUGACUGUG